UACGUAGGGUGCGAGCGUUAAUCGGAAUUACUGGGCGUAAAGCGUGCGCAGGCGGUCUGUUAAGACCGAUGUGAAAUCCCCGGGCUUAACCUGGGAACUGCAUUUGUGACUGCAUAGCUAGAGUACGGUAGAGGGGGAUGGAAUUCCGCGUGUAGCAGUGAAAUGCGUAGAUAUGCGGAGGAACACCGAUGGCGAAGGCAAUCCCCUGGACCUGUACUGACGCUCAUGCACGAAAGCGUGGGGAGCAAACAGG
rnacentral:rRNA from 1 species